UACGUAGGUGGCGAGCGUUGUCCGGAUUUACUGGGCGUAAAGGGUCCGUAGGCGGUUCGGUAAGUCUCCUGUGAAAACUCCAGGCUCAACUUGGAGCUGCCGGGGGAUACUGUCGGACUUGAGACUGCCAGAGGAAAGUGGAAUUCCCGGUGUAGUGGUGAAAUGCGUAGAUAUCGGGAGGAACACCAGUGGCGAAAGCGGCUUUCUGGGGCAGUUCUGACGCUGAGUGACGAAAGCGUGGGGAGCAAACCGG
rnacentral:misc_RNA from 1 species